GGUGGUAAUGCCAACCGAUAUGCAACAGGUCUGAUUCUUUCAGUAAUCUCAUAUGGCCCGAUGAAUCGUGGACUCAAUUUUCUUUUUUGACCAAACCGAAUAACUUUCUUCUAACGUGAUACUUUCAAGAAUACUUUGUCGCCGAUAUGAAAUUCUAUUUCUUUUCAUUUAAGAUCUGCAUAAGACUUUUGACGAUCAAAGGUUGCUUUUAAACUAUCUCGAAUUACUUUCACCUUUUCUUCAGUUUCAUGAAUUAAGUCAACUCCAUGUAUC
rnacentral:lncRNA from 1 species